rnacentral:rRNA from 1 species
CCUACGUGGGGCUGCAGUGGGGAAUAUUUCACAAUGGUGGAAACCCUGAUGCAGCAACGCCGCGUGAGUGAAGAAGUCUUUCGGUAUGUAAAGCUCUAUCCGCAGGGACGAAGAUGACGGUCCGUGACUAAGAAGCCCUGGCGAACUACGUGCCAGCAGCCGCGGUAAUACGCAGGGGGCAAGCGUUACGUGGAGUGACGGGGUGUAAAGUGAUCGGAGGCGGUGUGACAAGUCUGUAGUGAAAGCCCUGGGCUUAACCCAAGGAAUGCGUGUGAAAAUGACUGACUAGAGUGCUGGAGAGGAAAGCAGAAUUCCUGGUGUAGCGGUGAAAUGCGUAGAUAUUAGGAAGAAUACCAGUGGCGAAGGCGGCUAGCUGGACAGUAACUGACGUUGAGGCUCGAAAGCGUGGGGAGCAAACAGGAUUAGAUACCCUGGUAGUC